rnacentral:rRNA from 1 species
UGGGGAAUUUUGGACAAUGGGCGAAAGCCUGAUCCAGCAAUGCCGCGUGUGUGAAGAAGGCCUUCGGGUUGUAAAGCACUUUUGUCCGGAAAGAAAUCCUUGGCUCUAAUACAGUCGGGGGAUGACGGUACCGGAAGAAUAAGCACCGGCUAACUACGUGCCAGCAGCCGCGGUAAUACGUAGGGUGCAAGCGUUAAUCGGAAUUACUGGGCGUAAAGCGUGCGCAGGCGGUUUGCUAAGACCGAUGUGAAAUCCCCGGGCUCAACCUGGGAACUGCAUUGGUGACUGGCAGGCUAGAGUAUGGCAGAGGGGGGUUAGAAUUCCACGUGUAGCAGUGAAAUGCGUAGAGAUGUGGAGGAAUACCGAUGGCGAAGGCAGCCCCCUGGGCCAAUACUGACGCUCAUGCACGAAAGCGUGGGGAGCAAACAGGAUUCAGAUACCCUGGUAGUCCACGCCCUAAACGAUGUCAACUAGUUGUUGGGGAUUCAUUUCCUUAGUAACGUAGCUAACGCGUGAAGUUGACCGCCUGGGGAGUACGGUCGCAAGAUU